rnacentral:rRNA from 1 species
GAUGAACGCUGGCGGCGUGCCUAAUACAUGCAAGUCGAGCGAACUGAUUAGAAGCUUGCUUCUAUGACGUUAGCGGCGGACGGGUGAGUAACACGUGGGCAACCUGCCUGUAAGACUGGGAUAACUUCGGGAAACCGAAGCUAAUACCGGAUAGGAUCUUCUCCUUCAUGGGAGAUGAUUGAAAGAUGGUUUCGGCUAUCACUUACAGAUGGGCCCGCGGUGCAUUAGCUAGUUGGUGAGGUAACGGCUCACCAAGGCAACGAUGCAUAGCCGACCUGAGGGGGUGAGCGGCCACACUGGGACUGAGACACGGCACAGACUCCUACGGGAGGCAGCAGUAGGGAAUCUUCCGCAAUGGACGAAAGUCUGACGGAGCAACGCCGCGUGAGUGAUGAAGGCUUUCGGGUCGUAAAACUCUGUUGUUAGGGAAGAACAAGUACGAGAGUAACUGCUCGUACCUUGACGGUACCUAACCAGAAAGCCACGGCUAACUACGUGCCAGCCGCCGCAGUAAAAC